UUGAUCCAAGCCAACGCUAGAAUAAAUAACUAGAUUUAGAUAUUAAAUCACUCGUAUAAUUAAUUAGUCCAAAAAUUGAUCCAAGUAAAUCUAGAACAAUUAACUAGACUCAGAGGUAGAAGUGUUCAAUCCAAAUUACUGUUUAGUUUUGUUAGCUUUUUAGUUUUUAUUGACUAGAAUUCAGUUUUGGUUCGGAUUAGAUUUUAGAAAAAGCCCUUAAUUUUCAAAUGUUUUAAUUUUGGAACUGUUUUUUUGUUUGUUAAGCUUUCAUUUUCAAUUUUCAGUUAGAGAAAAUAAAUUUAUUUAAAGCAUAUAUUAAAAUUAAAAAUGAUUUAGAACAUCCUUAAACGGCUUACUCCCUUUAUUUGUUAAGUUUCCUUAUACCAUCUGAGGCCAAAAUGUGUAACAUGAUUUUCUCUUAAAUAUCAUCCAAUCAUGCAAUCUCUAGAUUCCUUCUUGUAAAUUCUAGUAGAGCUAGCCUGUCACCAAUUGCCUAUCUACGUUACAGCCAAUUGUUGUUAUAUAAUUAAAAAUGAAUAAAAUCAAAAUUCUGUCUUUUUGCUCAGACCGUUCAUUGCUUGUUAGAUAAUUAUACCUCUAACCAGUCGAGACAAGUGAUGCAUGGCCUAUGAUAUUUUCGUGUUUUAAUGAGUUUGAGUGAUUCUCUGGAGUCCACUUUACGUAUUUUUAUUUGUUUUGGAGCUAUCAGCUACGAGUACUUUUUUUUUUUUAACGUUGUGGUGUGUGGUAUACUGGUAUGUAUAGGAUUCUUGUAAAACUUCACUAAGAACGCUGACAUUUUUCUUUUGAAAGCCUAUCUUAUUUGAAUUUUUGGAUACUUUUCUUAUUUGAACUUGACCAGAGUAUAUAAUUUCUAUCUUUAGUAUUCUUUUAAAUGCAUCUCUUAUUUUCCUUUCCUUAUA
rnacentral:lncRNA from 1 species